GAUGAACGCUGGCGGCGUGCCUAAUACAUGCAAGUCGAGCGAACAGACGAGGAGCUUGCUCCUCUGACGUUAGCGGCGGACGGGUGAGUAACACGUGGAUAACCUACCUAUAAGACUGGGAUAACUUCGGGAAACCGGAGCUAAUACCGGAUAAUAUAUUGAACCGCAUGGUUCCAUAGUGAAAGACGGUUUUGCUGUCACUUAUAGAUGGAUCCGCGCCGCAUUAGCUAGUUGGUAAGGUAACGGCUUACCAAGGCAACGAUGCGUAGCCGACCCGAGAGGGUGAUGGCCGCCACUGGAGUAGAGACACGGUCCAGAUUCCUACGAAAGGCAGCAGUAGCGAUUCUUGCGCAAUGCGCGAAACCCUGACGCGGAAACGCCGCGUGAGUGAUAAGGGUCUUCGGAACGUAAAGCUCUGUUAUUAGUGAAUAACAAAUGUGUAAGUAACCAGAAACGUCUUGACGCUACCUAUUCAGAGAGCCACGGCUAACUUCGUC
rnacentral:rRNA from 1 species